UCUUUCCCACAGGCUUUUGAUGAGGCUAUUUCUGAGCUUGACACAUUGGGUGAGGAAUCCUACAAGGAUAGCACUUUGAUCAUGCAGCUCCUCCGAGACAAUCUGACACUCUGGACUUCUGAUAUCACGGAUGAUGCUGGGGACGAAAUCAAGGAAGCAUCAAAGCGCGAAUCCAGUGAAGCACAGCAGUAACGAGGCUUCUGGUUCGUAGAAUUUGUACUAUGUACCCAUUUAUCUUGGGACCUUUGUAAUAGAUGCCAUGUGGGUUGUAGAAGGAUUUGCCUAUGAACUUGACGGUCUUGAGCGCGUCAGCGCUUAGGGUUGAAAUGUUCCAGCCUAGGGUUGGAAUGUUCCAACAGAUCGCAAAAUUGCGUUUUAUAAUUGAUAUAACAUUGUGGAGCUUGUAUUCUUUAUGCUUCUCUCAACCAGGUUGUGUUUCGGGUACAUCCGAUUCGCUCUACCGAAGCUGGUACCUUCAUUGUUCGCUGCAAGUUUAACUUUGCAACAUUAGAAUUGAUCGUUUGGGGCUUUUACAAAUCAGUUUAUUGCUUUGUGCAUUUGUGAUUUCUUGUAUCUUGAGUAUGUAUAUCUUCUGAAUCGAUAAGUCACUGAGUCCGCUGCUUUAUCGU